UAGAGUUUGAUCCUGGCUCAGAUUGAACGCUGGCGGCAUGCCUAACACGUGCAAGUCGAACGAAGGCUUCGGCCUUAGUGGCGCACGGGUGCGUAACGCGUGGGAAUCUGCCCUCAGGUUCGGAAUAACAGCGAGAAGCUGCUGCUAAUACCGGAUGAUAUCGCGAGAUCAAAGAUUUAUCGCCUGAGGAUGAGCCCGCGUAGGAUUAGCUAGUUGGUGUGGUAAAGGCGCACCAAGCCGACGAUCCAUAGCUGGUUUGAGAGGAUGACCAGCCACACUGGGACUGAGACACGGCCCAGACUCCUACGGGAGGCAGCAGUGGGGAAUCUUAGACAAUGGGGGAAACCCUGAUCUAGCCAUGCCGCGUGAUAGAUGAAGGCCUUAGGGUUGUAAAGAUCUUUCGCUGGGGAAGAUAAUGACUGUACCCAGUAAAGAAGCCCCGGCUAACUCCGUGCCAGCAGCCGCGGUAAUA
rnacentral:rRNA from 1 species